AUUUCUGAAUUAUUCAGUGUUGUCCACGUACUAGUUGUCAUAAACAGACUUUCGAUCUCUUUAUGAUGGCAGUACAGCAGAUCACUUAAGGAUUGCUAAGACAUGAAUUAACGUUUCUAACACUUGACAAAGUUACAACAUCCUACGUUGAAAAUGGACUAGACGAUACUGAUAAUAAUAAUGGUUUUAUGCAAAGUACGAGUAAUGGAUUGCAGUGCAACAGAUCACUCAACGGUUGCUGAGCAUGAAUUAACAUUUUUAGCGCUUGGAAUAGUUUCAACAUCCUAUGUUUAAUAUGGAUUAGAAGAUUGCAGUACAGCAGAUCUUUCAAGCCAUGAUGAAACAUGAAUUAUCGUUUUUAGCACUUGGGAAAAUUUGGACAUCCCAUGUUAAAAUUUGACUAGACAAUACUGAUAAUAAUAACAAUAAUGGUAUUUUGAAUG